rnacentral:lncRNA from 1 species
CUGGUCGUUAUUGUUUACUGGCAUGGAGGACCCAAUUGCUGAUCUAUCCCCUGCUCAUUCAUUGCUUACCUUUGCCUACUAGGGAGACUGAAUUACUUUGUCCAUUGGGGACUUUGACUGUCAGAGAAGCUUGGAAGGUCUGUUGCAGAUGUUCGGACAUCAAGUCUAGACAAUUCAGCUGUGCCCUUGAGUUAAUGGUGUUUAUGGAGCUAUAUUAAAUGGAACUAUGGAGGCUCUACCCCAUGGAGACGUGCACAACCAUCCAUAUGUAUUUGGGGGGGCAUAUAUAACAACCUUGCGUUUGUAGGAGUAAUAGAAGACUAAUUUUUUUCCUGUUGCCAUUUGUGUGAACACAAAUAUAACCUACUAGUAUCAGACUACUUCAAUUUGUUCC